rnacentral:misc_RNA from 1 species
AAGUCGUAACAAGGUAUCCGUAGGUGAACCUGCGGAUGGAUCAUUAACAAAGGAUUUACUCCAAUGUAUUGUGAAUUGUAUUGAAAUCACGGUCAGUCGGGGGUUAUACUUGGCUGGUCGUACAAACAAACGUAUUGUUUUAAACUGAAGUCUACCUUUACAAAAGUAAAGACAACUUUUAGCAACGGAUCUCUUGGCUCUC